rnacentral:rRNA from 1 species
UUGAAGAGUUUGAUCAUGGCUCAGAUUGAACGCUGGCGGCAGGCCUAACACAUGCAAGUCGGGCGGUAACACAGGGAGCUUGCUCCCGGGUGACGAGCGGCGGACGGGUGAGUAAUGUCUGGGAAACUGCCUGAUGGAGGGGGAUAACUACUGGAAACGGUAGCUAAUACCGCAUAACGUCGCAAGACCAAAGAGGGGGACCUUCGGGCCUCUUGCCAUCAGAUGUGCCCAGAUGGGAUUAGCUAGUAGGUGGGGUAACGGCUCACCUAGGCGACGAUCCCUAGCUGGUCUGAGAGGAUGACCAGCCACACUGGAACUGAGACACGGUCCAGACUCCUACGGGAGGCAGCAGUGGGGAAUAUUGCACAAUGGGCGCAAGCCUGAUGCAGCCAUGCCGCGUGUAUGAAGAAGGCCUUCGGGUUGUAAAGUACUUUCAGCGGGGAGGAAGGUGUUGUGGUUAAUAACCACAGCAAUUGACGUUACCCGCAGAAGAAGCACCGGCUAACUCCGUGCCAGCAGCCGCGGUAAUACGGAGGGUGCAAGCGUUAAUCGGAAUUACUGGGCGUAAAGCGCACGCAGGCGGUCUGUCAAGUCGGAUGUGAAAUCCCCGGGCUCAACCUGGGAACUGCAUUCGAAACUGGCAGGCUAGAGUCUUGUAGAGGGGGGUAGAAUUCCAGGUGUAGCGGUGAAAUGCGUAGAGAUCUGGAGGAAUACCGGUGGCGAAGGCGGCCCCCUGGACAAAGACUGACGCUCAGGUGCGAAAGCGUGGGGAGCAAACAGGAUUAGAUACCCUGGUAGUCCACGCCGUAAACGAUGUCGACUUGGAGGUUGUGCCCUUGAGGCGUGGCUUCCGGAGCUAACGCGUUAAGUCGACCGCCUGGGGAGUACGGCCGCAAGGUUAAAACUCAAAUGAAUUGACGGGGGCCCGCACAAGCGGUGGAGCAUGUGGUUUAAUUCGAUGCAACGCGAAGAACCUUACCUACUCUUGACAUCCAGAGAACUUAGCAGAGAUGCUUUGGUGCCUUCGGGAACUCUGAGACAGGUGCUGCAUGGCUGUCGUCAGCUCGUGUUGUGAAAUGUUGGGUUAAGUCCCGCAACGAGCGCAACCCUUAUCCUUUGUUGCCAGCGGUCCGGCCGGGAACUCAAAGGAGACUGCCAGUGAUAAACUGGAGGAAGGUGGGGAUGACGUCAAGUCAUCAUGGCCCUUACGAGUAGGGCUACACACGUGCUACAAUGGCGCAUACAAAGAGAAGCGACCUCGCGAGAGCAAGCGGACCUCAUAAAGUGCGUCGUAGUCCGGAUUGGAGUCUGCAACUCGACUCCAUGAAGUCGGAAUCGCUAGUAAUCGUAGAUCAGAAUGCUACGGUGAAUACGUUCCCGGGCCUUGUACACACCGCCCGUCACACCAUGGGAGUGGGUUGCAAAAGAAGUAGGUAGCUUAACCUUCGGGAGGGCGCUUACCACUUUGUGAUUCAUGACUGGGGUGAAGUCGUAACAAGGUAACCGUAGGGGAACCUGCGGUUGGAUCACCUCCUU